CCUGGUCGUCCACCAGCUCCCACUUCACUAUCAGCUUAAUACUGGGGUACUCGCUCUUCACAGGGAGCUUGUUCAGGUAGCUGUACGAGUGGCCCUUCUGGAUGGGGCACUGGAUCCCAGACUUGCAUCCGUCGGGCUCGGGGAUGGGGAAGGGUAUGUCCACGUGCAGCAUCUCACCAUACACCUUUGCCUUACUGCCUUGGCUCUCGAUCUUGCUGGAGAAAGUGACGUUGAUGCUAUACGAGGUCCCUUUGACGAGCUGGCAGGGCUGCGUGGGACAGGGGCUCACGUUCACCUCUUGAAUGCUUCCGUCUUUGGAACCGCAGUCCACGAAGCGGAGCGGCUCGGCCACGGCGGCAGCGGCGAGCGCCAGCAGCAGCACGAGAGGCGGCGGCACCAUGGCGGCAGUGCGCUGCGCUGCGCUGCGGAGGCGGUGGUGGCGGCGGUGGCGGCGGCGGCGUCACAUGAGAGCGGCGGGGCCGCCCCGUCCCGCCCCGUCCCGGCGGUCAGCUGAGCGCUGCUCCGCCCGCGGGGCCGGGCCGUGGGCUGUAGGUGUGCUGCCUGCCGGGGUCGCGGUGGCGGCGCUGAUGCUCAGGGGACGUGCCCCGUGUGACAGCUGCGGCUCUGGGUCACCCUGGCGCCACCAUUUCGCCGAGAAAAUGAACGGAUCCGUUCAUCCCUGCGAGACUUGUGCUUGCACUUACAUAUCCC
rnacentral:lncRNA from 1 species